AGCGAACGUAUCACUUAAAGCGAUUCAGCGGGUUACGAUUGACGGAGCGAAGCGACGUCAAAGCGUAUACAAAGUCGAGUCGGUUUAAGGAUACGUUCGUUGGGUAGGGGAGCGUUCUGUAAGCCUGUGAAGGUGGCCUGUGAGGGUUGCUGGAGGUAUCAGAAGUGCGAAUGCUGACAUAAGUAACGAUAAAGCGGGUGAAAAGCCCGCUCGCC
rnacentral:rRNA from 1 species